UCUCUAACCUACAGCUUCCUUCUUACUCUUUUAUACUCACACACAAAUCUCUACAAUCUUCGCCACGUUUAGAGACAAAAGUAGGAAAAAGAAGAAGCCUUUCAGGUGAAGUGUACUGGUUUCUUGAUCUGUAUUAGCUAUAGCCACAUUGCCAACUCAAAAGCUACUUCGUUGGUUUCUGGGAAACAGCGUGGGAUAAAAAAAACAAGGAACUUUGUGCUCCCAAAUCGCAUCCAUCGGUAGAGGGUGAUCACUUUGUGGCAAUGCAAGCAACAUUGUCUUUUCGGUUUGGUUUACUCGAAAGUAACAGCGAAAUUGUGCAUAUUUGUUCACUCAUUUCAUUUGCAUAUUCAUCAAUGCAUGCAUGUGUAUUAGAUAGUAUGCCUGGCUCCCUGUAUGCCAUUUGCAAAGCUCAUCAUGGGAUUGGUGGCCUUCGUAAAUAGCGUGCGAGGAGCCAUGCAUGCUAACUUCUUGUCAUUCAUAUCUGAGAAUUAAUAUUGAUAACGAGCGUCUUUCAGUUUCUGAUUCUUUAUUUGAUAUUCUCAGAAAGGAAAUAAGUUUUUAGACAUCAAGAUAUGAAUGUUCUUAUUUUUGCUUAUUUUUAUUAAAUACUCUAAUUGCGCAUGCUCAUAGACGAUGAUAAGCCGCACGAAUGCAGCACAUGAAGUUUAACUUUUCCCUUUAAUUAAAGCUUCCUGUUGACUGGUGAAUGACUUAUUUGCCAUGCUCAUCAUCAAUAUAAUCACAGGACCACUGUGGUCUUAGUUUUUGACUCUUUAUUGUUUAAUUUGCUCGUAUGUAAAUUUAGAAUACAACGCUGGUGAUCUUAUGUCAAUUAUGGCGGCCUAGUGGUGUUCUUUAAUCAGCUAAUCUUCAUUCUUUGAUACGGGUAUGUAAGAGAUAUGUAGACCAUAUUAGCAAGACCAUUUUAAGCAGUUCUGAAUUUCCAGAAAACUCUUGAGCAGAAUUUAUUUAAUUAUCAUACACCGAAUUAACUUUAUUCAAUUUAAUUAUUAGUUACUUCGUUUUAUUUACUUUUUGGUUUCUUGGCAGGGUGAUGUUGCCUUGAGUCGCCCUUGACACUCGAUCGAUGAGCCAUUUUAAAAAGGGUUGCAUCAUAUCAACAAAGAAAGUCAAAAAGAUGUACUGUUUGGAAUGCUGCCUGUGCCUGAUGAAGAAAUGCUAUGGGACAUGAUUUUCUGGCUCAACUUGAUAUCCAUAAGAUCAG